UACGGAGAGUGCAAACGUUGUUCGGAUUCACUGGGCGUAAAGGGCACGUAGGCGGCUCGGCAAAUCGGUCGUGGAAUCUCGACGCUUACCGUCGAAACGGCGGCCGAAAAUACCGGGCUAGAGGGCGUGAGGGGUCACUGGAACUCCUGGUGAAGCGGUGAAAUGCGUAGAUAUCAGGAGGAACGCCGGAGGCGAAAGCGAGUGACUGGCGCGUUCCUGACGCUGAGGUGCGAAAGCUAGGGGAGCAAACAGG
rnacentral:rRNA from 1 species